rnacentral:rRNA from 1 species
GACGAACCGUGCGAACGUUAUUCGGAAUCACUGGGCUUAAAGCGCGUGUAGGCGGGAGGGCACGUCCGUCGCUGAAAUCCCCCGGCUCAACCGGGGAACGGGCGCGGAUACGACCUUCCUGGAGGGGCGUAGGGGGACCUGGAACUUCCGGUGGAGCGGUGAAAUGCGUUGAGAUCGGAAGGAACGCCCGUGGCGAAAGCGAGGUCCUGGACGCCUACGGACGCUGAGACGCGAAAGCCAGGGGAGCGAACGGG